GAUGGCCUGCUUUCGUAUUUUAGAUAAUGAAUAAUCAACAGCAUCAUGUACUACAUGUUGCGGAAGGGUAUGCGCAUACAGUAUCUGAAGGGUCUCCCGAGGCGCCUAAGGCACUGCAUCUCAGUGCUAAGGCAGCGGCACAACAGACCCUGGUUCAUUUCCAGCAUGUAUCACAACCGGCCGUGAUUGGGAGCCCCAUAGGGCGGCACACAAUUGUCCCAGCGUCAUCCGUUUCGGGUUCGGCCGGGGUAGGCCAUCAUUGUAAAUACGAAUAUGUUCAUAGUUGUCUUGCCUAGUUAAAUAAAAAUCAGAAUAACUGCAGUUGUAUUACCACAAGAUGGCGCUGUCUGUCAUCAGAAUAACAGCGAGGCUAUUGUGAUGGUUUGCAGCUUUUGGGACUUCUAUAUUGGUUUAUUAAGUCAGCCAAGCUCAAACAAUCACAGAUAAAGUAUUGCAUUUCAAAAUAUGGUCUGUCUGGUCGAUCAUCAAAUUUAUAUUUGUCAUUUAGCAGAUGCUCUUAUCCAGAGCGACUACAGGAGCGAUUUGGGUUAAGUGCCUUCCUCAAGGGUACAGAGAUUUUUCACCUAGUCGGCUCGGGGAUUCAAACCAGCGACCUUUCAAUGUGUCUAUCAAGUUUUAGAACAUAUUUUAAUCAUGGGUUUAUCACAAUGCAUCUUUCCUUGAUUCCUUCCAUUCUCUACUUGCCAACUGUUCCAAGGUCCCUUCCCUCAGGAUGCAAAUAAUUAAGAUUAAUUGAAAGAGCCAAUGUGAGUAUAUAUAGAGGUGUGGUGUGUAUAGAGGUGUAUAUAGAGGUGUAUAUAGAGGUGUGGUGUGUAUAGAGGUGUAUAUAGAGGUGUGGUGUGUAUAGAGGUGUAUAUAGAGGUGUAUAUAGAGGUGUGGUGUGUAUAGAGGUGUAUAUAGAGGUGUGGUGUGUAUAGAGGUGUAUAUAGAGGUGUAUAUAGAGGUGUGGUGUGUAUAGAGGUGUAUAUAGAGGUGUAUAUAGAGGUGUGGUGUGUAUAGAGGUGUAUAUAGAGGUGUGUAUAUAGAGGUGUGGUGUAUAUAGAGUUGUGUUGUAUAUAGAGGUGUGGUGUAUAUAGAGGUGUAUAUAGAGGUGUGGUGUGUCUAGAGGUGUAUAUAGAGGUGUGGUGUGUAUAUAGGUGUAUAUAGAGGUGUGGUGUAUAUAGAGGUGUAUAUAGAGGUGUGUAUAGAGGUGUGGUGUGUAGAGGUGUAUAUAGAGGUGUGGUGUGUAUAGAGGUGUAUAUAGAGGUGUGGUGUAUAUAGAGGUGUGGUGUAUAUAGAGGUGUAUAUAGAGGUGUGGUGUAUAUAGAGGUGUGGUGUAUAUAGAGGUGUGGUGUAUAUAGAGGUGUGGUGUGUAUAGAGGUGUAUAUAGAGGUGUGGUGUAUAUAGAGGUGUAUAUAGAGGUGUGGUGUAUAUAGAGGUGUGGUGUGUAUAGAGGUGUAUAUAGAGGUGUGGUGUGUAUAGAGGUGUAUAUAGAGGUGUGGUGUAUAUAGAGGUGUAUAUAGAGGUGUGGUGUAUAUAGAGGUGUGGUGUAUAUAGAGGUGUAUAUAGAGGUGUGGUGUAUAUAGAGGUGUGGUGUGUAUAGAGGUGUAUAUAGAGGUGUGGUGUGUAUAGAGGUGUAUAUAGAGGUGUGGUGUAUAUAGAGGUGUAUAUAGAGGUGUGGUGUAUAUAGAGGUGUGGUGUAUAUAGAGGUUUAUAUAGAGGUGUGGUGUAUAUAGAGGUGUAUAUAGAGGUGUGGUGUGUAUAGAGGUGUAUAUAGAGGUGUGGUGUGUAUAGAGGUGUAUAUAGAGGUGUGGUGUAUAUAGAGGUGUGGUGUGUAUAGAGGUGUGGUGUAUAUAGAGGUGUGGUGUAUAUAGAGGUGUAUAUAGAGGUGUGGUGUGUAUAGAGGUGUAUAUAGAGGUGUGGUGUGUAUAGAGGUGUAUAUAGAGGUGUGGUGUAUAUAUAGGUGUAUAUAGAGGUGUGGUGUAUAUAUAGGUGUAUAUAGAGGUGUGGUGUAUAUAGAGGUGUAUAUAGAGGUGUGGUGUAUAUAUAGGUGUGUAUAGAGGUGUGGUGUAUAUAGAGGUGUGUAUAGAGGUGUGGUGUAUAUAGAGGUGUAUAUAGAGGUGUGGUGUGUAUAUAGGUGUAUAUAGAGGUGUGGUGUGUAUAGGUGUAUAUAGAGGUGUUGUGUGCUGAUCCCUGACUGUUUGAUC